rfam:Roseivivax isoporae LMG 25204 contig83, whole genome shotgun sequence.
CGCGCGGCCCGGGCCCCUCUGACGAUGGAUGACCUUCGUGAUGUCGGACCGCACCU